rnacentral:rRNA from 1 species
AGCCUAACACAUGCAAGUCGAACGGUAACAGGAAGCAGCUUGCUGCUUCGCUGACGAGUGGCGGACGGGUGAGUAAUGUCUGGGAAACUGCCUGAUGGAGGGGGAUAACUACUGGAAACGGUAGCUAAUACCGCAUAACGUCGCAAGACCAAAGAGGGGGACCUUCGGGCCUCUUGCCAUCGGAUGUGCCCAGAUGGGAUUAGCUAGUAGGUGGGGUAACGGCUCACCUAGGCGACGAUCCCUAGCUGGUCUGAGAGGAUGACCAGCCACACUGGAACUGGGACACGGUCCAGACUCCUACGGGAGGCAGCAGUGGGGAAUAUUGCACAAUGGGCGCAAGCCUGAUGCAGCCAUGCCGCGUGUAUGAAGAAGGCCUUCGAGUUGUAAAGUACUUUCAGCGGGGAGGAAGGCGAUAAGGUUAAUAACCUUGUCGAUUGACGUUACCCGCAGAAGAAGCACCGGCUAACUCCGUUGCCCAGCAUGCCCCGCGGGUAAAUACGGGAGCGGUGCCAAGCCGUUUUAAUU